GCCCACGUAGCUCAGUUGGUAGAGCACUUCCUUGGUAAGGAAGAGGUCAUCGGUUCAAUCCCGAUCGUGGGCU
rnacentral:tRNA from 1 species